UCCCUGACAGUCCAGUGGCUGGGACUCUGUGCUUCCACUGCUGAGAGCCCAGGUUCAAUCCCUGAUUGGGGAA
rfam:TPA: Bos taurus chromosome 15, whole genome shotgun sequence.